rnacentral:lncRNA from 1 species
GCUGUUCCAGGGGCCUGGGUGGGAGCAGCCCAGGAGCCUGCGUCUCCCCUCCUCGGCCCUGGGAGGCGGCUGGACUGUGCCACACGGGACGGGUGCUGAGGGACCGCUGGGUGCCCACCUCCCUGACCCCUCCUGCAGGGGUGCCUGCCAAGCAGCCUGGGCACUGCCGUCUGGAAGAUGCGCCGUGCCGGUUCUACACGGUGUUCCCUUGCUCCAGGCAGAAAGGCAGAGGAGCCUGGCAACCAUGUCCCAAGUUGGAAGGAAGCUCUGAGAACCCUGCUCCCCAGAAAUCCUGAGCAAAGGCUGGCUGGCCUACAGGAGCAGUCUAGAGUAAGAGCUGUUUCCUGGCAGAGGAUCAAGUAUCCAGGUCACAUUGAAGAGACAUGUGAGGACUCCAAUGGAGAACAAUUUGAGAGUGAGAAACCAGUUCUGGAGGCCAGGAAGUUCAAGAUCAAGGUGUUGGCAAGUUCAGUGUCUGCUGAGGACCUGAUCUCUCUUCUUUCAAGAUGGCAUCUUGUUGCUCUUCCCUCCAGAGAGUAGAAAUGCUGGAACCUCACAUGGAGGAAAAAAUGAAAAGGACCAAUGCUAGUUCCCUUCAGCCUUUUUAUGAACUCACUAAUUCCCAUUGAGGGCUCCACAUACAUGACUUAAUCACCUCCUAAAUGCCUGACUUCCUAAUACUCUCAUUUUGAAGAUUAAGUUUCAACAUAUGAAUUUGGGGGUCAUAUUCAGAACAUAGCACUUAUGAUACUAUCUCAAAUCAUAGACUGCUUUCUCGGUGGGCAUCUAUCUCAGUUUCUUUUCUGUUGUUAUUACAGAGUACCUGAGCCUGAGUAAUUUAUAAAGAAAAUACAUUUAUUUUGGCUCAUGGCUCUAUAGGCUGGGAAGUCCAAGAUUGGGCGGUUACAUCUGGUUGGCUCCUGGUGCGGGCCUCCUGCCGCAUCAUAACAAGGUAGAGAAGUGAAAGGGAAGGUGGGCUUGUAGGAAGGGGGCAAAGCAUGAAGGGCAGGCUUGCUUUAUAGAAACUGGGACACAGCACCCCACAGGAUGAGUGUAUAAAGGCUAGACAGACAAGGGGAUUGUUGUGUUGAACCUGAAAAGUCCCCUCACCUGGCAAUGCUCUCUGUUCCCUGUGAGAAGAAGGGGUUUCUUUUCUUCUGGGAUGAUUCAUCCCUUCACCUGUGGCCUUCCCUAGAGCCCAUCCUUGUGCCAUUCUGCUCUCCAGGCACAUCUCUCUCAGAUGAAUUCCCUCUUCCCUCUUCCUCUGGCCCCUCCUGUUUAUUUAUCUGUUUCCUCACCACUGUGUAAUCAGGUAGGCCCCACUGCUGUGACCUCUGGAAUAAUGAUUGAAUCUGCCCUAUCCUCUCCACAGUGAUGCCUGGGACCCAGCUGAGAUCUCCAUCAUCUCUCAAAACAACUGUGCACUGACCUCCUGACCUAAGCCCAGCCUCUGCCCACUCAGACUGACCUUCACGCAGCUGCACAAUGCUGCAUUUGGAAGCCGGACCUGACCACAUUCGUUUCCCUCUGUUGAGAUUCAUGUUCUGGAGAAAUGAAAAUGCUGUCUCAGUGGAAUGUUGAUUAGCUGGAGUGGAGACCCAAGAUCUCUGUCCAGGCAGGGCCAUCAAAACAUAGAAGUGCUCUUGGCUUUCCAAAAUCUGCACAUCUCCAACUUUUCUUUUAGCUAGAGGUGGCCCUGUGAUUGAUGAGUGACCAGCCAUGUGUGGAGAAAAGCAAUGUGAACAACUUCUGACUUCGCUGUUAAAGAAAAUUGGUCUGUCCCCCAUUUCCUUGCAUUCCCAUUCUUACUGGCUGAAAUUCAAAGCUGAUAAAUGGAGCUAGAGCAGAUAGCUGGGAAAAUGAGUUGAGGGUCUUACAUUAAGACUUGCCAGCAAGAAGAAGAAUUUUUCCAGGGUUCCUGACACCGCCAAAUUGUUCGAUCAGCUCUGAACUCUAUACUGAGAUUCUUUAAGUAUGAGAGACAUGAACUUUGACUGGCUUAAGUGAGCUAUUGAGGUCUCUUUGCUAUUGUGACCUAACUCAGGGGUCAGCAAAUAACACUCUGUGCGCAAAAUCUGACUACGAUCUGUUUUUGUAACUAAAUAAAAUUUCACUGAAACACACCCAUGCUCAUUUAUUUAGGUAUGGCUGCUUUCAUGAUACCAUGGCACAUUUGACUACCUAUAGACAGUGAUAUGAUGUGGAUCUGUGUCCCCACCCAAAUCUCAUGUUGAAAUGUAAUCCCCCUGUGCUGGAGGUGGGAUCUGGUGGGAGGUGAAAUGGGGGCGGUUUCUCAAGAAUGGUUUAGCUCCAUUUCUCUGCUGCUGUAUUCAUGAUAGUAAGUGAGUGAGUUGUCACAAGAUCUGAUUGUGUAAAAGUGUGUGGCACCUCCCCCUUCUCUCUUGCUCCUUCUCGGCCAUGUAAGACCUGCCUGCUUCCCCUUCACCUUCCACCAUGAUUGUAAAUUUCAU